UACGUAGGGUGCAAACGUUGUUCGGAAUUACUGGGCGUAAAGCGCGUGUAGGCGGUUCGGAAAGUCGGGUGUGAAAGCCCUGGGCUUAACCCAGGAAGUGCACUCGAAACUUCCGAGCUAGAGUUCUGGAGAGGAAGGCGGAAUUCUCGGUGUAGAGGUGAAAUUCGUAGAUAUCGAGAGGAACAUCGGUGGCGAAGGCGGCCUUCUGGACAGCAACUGACGCUGAGACGCGAAAGCGUGGGGAGCAAACAGG
rnacentral:rRNA from 1 species